UUUUUUACAAGUACAUUGAAAGGUUAAGUUUAUUUCAAAAAUAUUUUUAUAAUUUGUUAACCUUUUAUUUAAUUAGUACUCUCCCCGUCUCUAAAUACAAGUCUUUUUAGAGAUUCCAAUAUAAACCACAUACCGAUAUAUAUAGUCAGGUAGAUUCAUUUUGCAUGUACUCCAUAUUAGAAUCUCUAAAUGGACUUGUACUUUGUAUUCAGGAAUUUAGUGGGUAUUUUUUUUCUAUAUUAGGUGUAUAUACACCAAUAUACCAGAAGUUCCUGUCCCUACCUCGUUCUACCCAUUUGUUAUAAUGAUCUACUCCGUCUUAUAAGACCUUUUAGCUAUUUCAACAUAUUAACUACAUACAGACUUUCUCCGUCCCGGAUACUUGUCACACAAAUAGAUAAAAUUGGAUGUAUCCAAAACUGAAAAUACCAAAAAUAUGUCUAGAUACAUUUAGUUCUGCGACAAGUAAUUUAGUACGGGAGGAGCACUAAAUAAGUAAAAUACAUACUAAAGUGUGUCUUAACAUACAUACUAAUAAAAAAGCUAAAAGUCUUAUAUUAGGGAACGGAGGGAGUAGUAGUAUAAACCAGAUGGGAGCAAAACAAGAACAUGUAGCAGACCAAAGUCUUUCCAUCAUAUGUUUCUUCGUCAAAUUACAUGCAUGUAAUCUUCUUGCCGAAUACAGAGGCGCACACACGAUCCAAUUCUUGCUUCAACCUAGGUGGGAGAGCAAGGACACGCACGACAUGCUAACACGAGCUGCUACUCCAAACGCACUCCCCUUCUUUUGCUGUAACCACCAUCACCACCACCAUCACCACGAAAAAACCAUACGCAGAUAUAUCUUCCUAACGAACCAACAAAUCCAACAAGGCGCAUUUCAUAUCCGCAACUGCUGUCCGUCAUCAUAUGUCGGCUGAGAGGAAGUUGUCAGACAAGGUAACCUGGAGAGGAAACGGAGUCAGCAAGCAUAUCGCAUCGAAACAAGAUCAAUUUUGCGAGUCUAGCUAGAGCGGAAGAAGUGAUUGAUUACCUUCUCGCCCAACUUGAACGGCGCCAGGCCUCUGUAUGGGCAGGUGCUGCAUCGGAAAGCGUCGCCCAACCCACACUGAAAUUGCAGGUUCACAGAGAAUAAUGUGAGAUAUUCAGUUGACCACAUGCAUGCAACGACUAGUGGAGAUCACAAGUGGCAUUGUACACAAAGAAGCAAUUGUACUUACACUGCCACAAGCUGAGACAGGGUUAUCAAUCUGUUCUGCAGUGAGCCCCAGCUUCUCCACCUUCUGCUCAGCCUCGGCCCUGCCACAACUGCAGUUCUUGCAUGCCUUCUUUGUAGCUCCCACCUCACAAUCUCCUACUGAUGAAGCAACAGCAAAACUUUCAGCAUCUAAACCUAAAUAGACCAUCUUCACAAGAUUUAAACAAGAUCUGAGGGUUUGUUGGCUUUACCAACUGGAAGCUGUGGCUUCUUCAAGUCCUCCUCAGUCAAGAGGCUGUCUUCGUCAAUCAGUUCAUCAUCAUCGUCAAUUUCAAUCUUUGGAAGAGCCUUUACUGCUUUCUUCAGGGGAAAGGAAGAACCCAUAAUCCAAGAAGGCUUCUUUGCCUUGAUCUGUAAGUGAUCCCAGUUAGCACUCGUCAAUGGAGAAAACCAUGUACAGAGCAGCCUUAACAAGAUGUGUCAUACUCACAGUAACAGAUUGCACGCUAUCUUGCGAGUUUGUAGCAGAAGCUUGCACUUCAACAAAACCACCCAUGAGUAGCUGGCGCUCGAUAUAAUUGUUUGGCUAAUGCAGAGGGAAACAGAAAAUCAGGUUGUGCUAAAUUAACAUUACAAGACAAUGGAUACGAGCAAAAACAGACACAUAAUUUACCUUCUGGUCAGUGGAGGGUGUGAAGCUCUGUACCAGCACAAUUCCACCAGCUUUCAGCACUCGGCUAAUUUCAGCAACCAACUUAUCUCCAAAGCUCUCAACAUUUUUUAUAACAGACAGAACAGCACCCACGGACGCGUCAUCAAAAGGCAACUUCCCACCUGACCCAUGUUGACAACAAAGGCUUAGAACAGGUUCAUGAAAGACUUGUUCACACAAGAAUGUGACAUACUAAAGCAUAGCAGAAUGAAAACUGAACACAACUAAGUGUACUCCCCGCAGCUUCUGAGGCAAGACAUCGAAUCAUCUCUCCAUGCAACAAACGUUGGCUAAAUUACAUAGUUUGUAUCAGCACUACAUUGAAGUUCAUGAGUGAUAGCCUGAUAGGAAGAAAACCAACCUAUUUUUGUUCUCCUUUUCUCAACUGGUAUUAUGUCUUUCGUGUGUAUUCUUAUAUUUGAAAGAUGGACAUGUAGAGGGACAUUUAAGAACUUGGCAAUUAGCACAUGAAGCAUAAGCUGUAAGUCAGAAACUACAAUGACAAAGGUAAACUCCAAUGAAGCUGAUCAGGAGUGCCCCUAAAUCGAUUGCAAUUGAACUGCGACGAAGCAACACAAGACCAAAUUAGAACCAGCACACAGGCAGUGUGCUGAAGUAAGGGGGACCCUCAAAUCUGAUUCUAACCUAGCCCUAGAGAAAUAUUAUCACCUCAGGUGUUAUUUAUUCUAUACAUGCAGUGGGUCCUAACCUAGAAUAGGCAUCCGCGCGGCUCCAGGUCACAACUGACCCAUGUUGACAACAAAGUUUUACAAACAGGUGCAUGACAGAUUUAAGUUUUAUACAAGGAUGUGGCAUAUUGAAACUGAAGUCUAAGUAAGAAUCAUCAAGAGAAAAAACAACGAAAUGUCUACUCCCAGAUUUGCGAACUACGCAACAAUUGGAUUGUCUGUCCAUAAGAAAGACGUUGGGACAAAUAACAUAGUGUGUAAUAGGCAACUCAUAUAUCAGCCCAUGAGUGGUAGCCUAAUAGCCAAAUGUUCUAUUCUGUGAGAUUUAGUAUAUUUUUCUUCCAACGAAACGAGAAUAUAAGCAUUGCUUUUUUUUCCACUUCUUUAUAUGUAUGUAUCUUCUGUGUAUUCUUUAUAUGUGUAGAGUAAUACUUUAAGUUAGCUAAGAUUGUCAUAUGUAGAAUAAGUUUAAACGCAUCAAGUCUAGAUAUGAAAUGGUAUUCCCACCGAGGGAGUACGUGUUACUCCUCCCAGCGUUAUGACACAACAAUAAAACAUUUGUACACACAACAGACAUUAGCCAAAUUACAUAGUUUGCACUAGCACUACAUAAGUGCAUGAGUGAUGUCCUGAUGGGAGAAUGAUCUUCUCCUUUUCUCUCGCGAUUAAAGCGAUGAUACCAACCUAUUUUUCUCCAUUCUCUAUUGGUAGUACGUGUUAUAUGUGUAUUCUUAUCUUAUAUUUAACAGAUAGAUAGGUAGAUUGACAUUUAAGAACUGGGCAAUUAGCAUUCGAGGCAUAAGCUUCAAAUCAUAAGCUACAACAACAGAAGGUAAACUCCAAUCAAGCAUAUCAGGAGUGCACAUAGAUUAAUCAAAACUGAACCGCAGCGAAGUCGCAACAGAAGACCCAAUUAGAACCAGCACACAGGUAGUGUGCUGAUAAGCAAUGGGCAACCUCACAUCUGAUUCUAAUCUAACCCUCAAGAAAUAUUAUCAUCUCACAUGUAUUUAUUCUAAACAUGCAGCAGGUCCUAACCCUAUCAUAGGCAUACGCGCGGCUUUGGGUCCCACCUGACCCAUGUUCACAACAAAGUUUUGUGAACAGGUACAUGACAGAGUUAAGUUUCAUACAAGGAUGUGGCUUAUUGAAACUGAAAGUCCAAGUAAAAGUCGUCAAGAGCAAAAAUAAUGAAAUGUUUACUCCCAGAUUUGUGAAGCACACAGCAAUUGGAUUGUUUGUCCAUAAGAAAGACGCCGGGACACAUAACAUACCGUGUAAUAGAUAAUUCAUAUAGCAGCCCAUGAGUGGUAGGCUAACAGCCAGAGAUGUUCUACUAUGUGAGAUAGUGUAUAUUUUUAUCUGGACGGAUGCGAGCGGACAGAAAUGAGUGAACAAACACACUAAAACGUGUCAAUAUACGUUGAAUAAGUUUAAACGGAUCAAAUCUAAGUAUGAACGAGCAAGAGGGCAAUAUAUGGUGAUGAGCAAGGGGCAAUCCCAAAUUUGAUUUAUAAGCCACCGCUCGAGAAAGAGCCCUUGGAUUUUAUAUAUUCUAUACUAGUGUAAUAAAGAUGCAGCGGGUCCUAACCCUAGCAUGGGCGGGGCGGGGCGGGGCGACGCUUGAGCGAAAUCGGUAACAGGGGGAAAGGGGCGAGAUGGAGGAGAAGGUGUUACCGACCGAGCGAGGCGCACUGCGUGAUGACGAAGACCUCCUCCCGCGAGACCCCGGCAGCCGCCGCCAGGUCCCCCACCGCGCGGAGAGGCAGGGCCAGCUCGUCCGUCACCGCGAGCGCCGCCGCCAUGUGGCCCGCCCCCGACGGAAUCACCUGCAACAGCGAGGAGGAGGCAGAGAGGGGAGGGGGGAAUCGUUCGCCCCUGGUCAGAUGAACGGCCGGCGACGGCGGCGGCGGGAGCAGGUGGAUCGAAUGGGAAAGCAGGGGGAUUGCUUCGAGGCGCUUACGGAUGGAUGGAUCUGAAGAGGGCGCGUGGAGGCGGGGAAGAAAGGAAAUCCCGUGGGCGGGCGGGCGGGCGCGCGAGAGGGGAAGGGGAACUCGGGUUUUGGUUGCGUGCGCUCUGGAAGCUUCCCUUCCGUGGCGGUGCGGCAACGAGGAGAAGGAGUGGGAACGGCGGCGGCGCGUGAGGGGUCAGGGUUGUCCCGUCUAGGGCUGGCCAAACGGGCCGGGCCGGCCCGGCCCAUCAUAAUCAUGCCUGCCACGUCGUGCCGAGAGCAACUAGUUAAGGAGCGCUCCUUCGAAAUCCUCACAACCAUCACUUGGGUUGGGAUAAAAGCGCGUCAUUUGGCGUGCUCUCAGUCGCCGUCACGUGUCGCGCUCUGUGCGCUUUUUUCGAUUUUUUAUUUAUUUUAUCGCACAUGUUUUUGGCUUUUUAAAUGUUUUUUUCGGUUUUUUGACUUUUUUUGUUUUUCACCGGCCUUCCAAAGUUUUCGGACCAAAAAAAUUUGUGCGGAAAAACUUGUUUUUUUUUGCUUUCUCAAGAGACAUGGUUUUGCUUUUGCGAGAGGGACAACCAUGCCUCUCAAAAACGAAAAAAAAUAUGUUUUUUCUUUUUUUUUCUUUUGGAAACGGGAAAAAAUGUGUUUUCUUUUUCUUUUCUUCCACGAGACGCACAAUUUUGCCUCUUUCAGAAAGGAAAAAAACAUGCUCCCGGUUCAGUCUUUUGUCCGGUUUUUUGUGAAAAAAAGUAUUGUCAAAACCUAUCAACAUGUGGUCUAGUUUUGAAGAUCUCAACGCGAAGAGUCCAACGGUGAAAACAAUUUGAGAUUUCGAUGCACGCUUUAGGAGAUAAAACGUUUUGAAUAAACAGACGAAAAAAAGGGAAAACUCCCAUGUUGCGAUGCUGCGCACCACUAGUCACAACAUGGGGAGGUGGGAGCGAUAUUUGGAAAGAGUACUCCUUAAGGGCAUGUCCAAUGCAUAGCCCCAGGAUGAUGCCCCAUACACCAUGUAGGAUCGGAUGUCAGAAAAAGUAGGUGCGGAUAGUGCAGCGGGAUCCUCUGCAGGAGGCGGGUGCUUGGGGGAGAAAAAGUGUGGUCCGAUGCAUAGAGCUAAAAAAAGUUUAAGUGAAGAGUAGGGAUGCAUGUGUAGUGGGAGUCUACUUAAAAUUAUUUGAAGAGGCCGUCUAUUAGUACCUUGCAUUAGGGAGAAAAAAAAUCAAUAUAGAUGCCUCAAGCUACUUUUUGUCAUGGGGCAUCUGUAUCCAUAUACCACUAUUGUACAUGCCCUAAUUAGUGAUUUCGCGGCAUGGUCGUCGUGACACGAUUAUUAGUCAGGCCGUGCCCACGUGCUGCCUCCUUCGGCUCAGGCACGACCCAAGAGUUAUGUGGGCCGGCCCGGCGGCACAUCGGGCAUGUUGGGCCGCUCGGCUAUUGGCCUGCUAGGCUUUUUUUUGGACCGAUUUUGGCCUAUUGGGUUGUUCCUUAUGGCAUAUAUAUAUAUAUAAUAAAAAGUAAACCGGCCAGGCCAUGCUGGCCCGCGUGCGCACCCUUCUGGCCCAAGCACGGCCCAAGGUGUGUCGCGUGCAUGGAAUGGCCCUAUUAGAGCGUGCCGGCCCUAGCCCGCCAAGUGUUGUGACAGCGUGCUUGUGGGCCGGCAUGCUAGGCCCGGCCCGCUUGGCCAGCUUUGGUCCCGUCUGCCUCGGCGUCUUUGGACCAACUGUAAGGGCGGCGGAUCAGAUCAGGCGACUAUGGUGUCGGCCCACGGCCUGUCUCGAGCAUCUGGGCCAGGUUGCUGGCGUUCCUGCCUAAACGAACGCGAGAGCUAUUUCUCAUUUAAUGCGAGCCCUGCGGUACUCUUCUCCCUUAGUGCGCCCACCCAGUGGCACCAUUUGUUCCGGUUUUCUUCCAGUUUUCCUCCCGGUCUUUCAUUUUUAAGUUUUCACUUCAAUUGGUUUCUUCGGUUUUCUCUAUGCUUCUUCACCGGUUUUCUUUGUUUUUUUUUUCAUUUUUGCAACGCAUGUCGUACACAUCGUACAUUUUUAUGUCGUUGUGGAACAUCGUUUUGAUACAUGUUGAACAUUUUUCAAAUUCAUGGUGUCAAUUUUUCUAAUAUAUGUUCUGAAUAUUCUUAAAAUACAUGUCAAAUAUUUUUCAAAUGCACCUUGAACAUUUCCCCUUCUUAUUGCUUGACAUAGCUCCGACUCUCCUCUAGCGCAAGGCUGCCAGGCCGGCCCUGUACUGUAGUUGUGCUGUGAUUUCUUUUCUCUGUGGUUUUCUUGUCAGGAUUUUCACUGUUCUCUUUAAUUUUUCUUCAUUCUGUCCCUUUUUUAGUUUUCUUUUUUCUUUCUUCGGUUAUCACCGGUUUCGCUCGGGUUUAUUUAUUAAUUUUUCCUAUUAUUUUCAACACAUGUCUACAUUUUUGUACGCAUUGUACAUUUUAUGUAUACGUCACACACAUAUUAUAUACACGUUACACAUUUUUCAAAUACAUAAUUACAAUUUUGUCAAAUACUAAUAUGAUCUAAUGUCUACUUUUUGUAUUCGUUGUACAUUUUUUCCUAUACAUAUAAUUUGUUUUUCUAUACAUGUCUAAAAUUAUUUAAAAUCCAUGUUUUUAACCUUUUUUUAAAAUACCUAUCAACCAUUUUUAAACUUCACAUUGAACAUUUUUAUAUUGUCUAUUUUUUAAAUGUCACAAGAUAUUUUUUGAAAAUUAUUUAUUUUUUGUAAUUGUACAAACAUUCUUUAAAUGUCACAACAAAUUUAGGCUAGUUAUAGUGGGGAGUAACUUAGACUAGUAACAUACUACCUUCGUCUAGGUGAAUAAGUCAUUCGCGUAGUUCUAGGUCAUCGAUUUAAGGAAUUAAAUAUGUGUUAUAUGUCAUGAAAAGUAUAUCACUAGAUUUCUACACGGAUGUAGUUUCUAAAUAUAUAUUUUUUGUCACAUAUAAUACAUAUUUUGAUAGUUAAAUCGUCGACCUAGAACUACGCGAAUGACUUAUUCGCCGAGACGGAGGUAGUACAUAUGUUACUAGUCAAUGUUAGUACCUUCAUAGUGGGAAGUGUCAUAGGUGUAGUAACAUAUAUAUCUUCAUUUAUUACUUUGUAGACUCAUUUUGUAUUGGGAACCGCUAUGUGAUGGUAACAUAUUAUGUUACUCCCUCCAUCACAGUUUAUAAGGCACACUUCCGUUUACAUGCAUUUUCAGAAUAUGUGAGGUUUAAGGCGCGUUGGCAUUUACUGCUUAGAGUAGUUAAUUAGACUAGUACUAGGCAGGCUUUACUACUCCACCACUGCAUGCAUGCGGACGGCUCGUUUAAUGGCCUGGUUGUUUACUGUGCUUUGAUUUCUCAGCUAAUUAGGCGUUGUGGUUUAACUUAUGCAGCUAUUUUUUAGUCGAGAGGAAAGAAACCUGGAGCCAAUCGUGGAUCACCUUGGUCCCAGAGAUUUUUGAUGUGCACCUUAAUUAUAAACUGUGACGGAGGGAGUACUCUAUUUAUCUCUCUCCUCUUUAAUUACAUGACACAUCAACUUUUUUGCUUAUGUGGUAUUUAUGUUACUAGAGAUGUUACUCCCACUAUGACUAGCCUUAUAUGGUACGCAUUAAUAUAUUAUACAUUUAAUAAACUAUUUUUUGAAUUCUACGAAUUUCCAUUUUUUAAUGUCACGUAGAUUUUUUAAAUGGGUUAAUGUUUUCUUAAUGUCAGAAAUAUUUUUUGAUUGACAUCAACUUUUUUCAAAUUGCACUAACACAAAUUUACACAAUGUUAAUGUUUUUUGAAUUCACGGUGAACAUUAAAAAACAAUUAAAGUAUAAUAUGCUUUUUGGAAUGCGUGUAUUUAUAAUAAUUUCAAAAGUAUAAACAAGAAAUAAUAAAACAAACAAAAAUAAUAACAGAACUGAUUUAUGUGUGCCAACUUGAUUAUGGGCCGGCCCAGUUGUGUCGUCCUUGAGCCGAGACCUACUUAUAUCUCGCUACGGACAAGACCGAAUGAAAAAACCACACCAUUCAAAAGCCGCUUCCGAGAGGCACGGCCGUUCCGACCGUGCCUCUCGCGGAAGCAAAUUCGUGCCUCUCACAAAAGGAAAUAAAAAAGAAAACACAUUUUUUCCCGUAUUCGAGAUGCACGGCCGUGCCUCUCAUGGAAGCAAAUCCGUGCCUCUCGCGGAAGGGAAAAAAAGAAGAAGAAAACGCAUUCUUUUUUUUGGUCUCCGAGAGGCACGACUGUGCCUCUCGCGGAAGCAAAUUUGUGCCUCUCAUGGAAGCAAAAUUGUGCUUCUCGCGGAAAAAACAAAACACAUUUUUUCCCCGUUUUCGAGAAGCACGGUUGUGCCUCUCGCGAAAGCAAAACGAGCAUCUCACAGAAGGAAAAAAAGGAAGAAACGUGAUUUUUUCGUCUGCGAGAGGCGCGGUCGUACCUCUUGCGGAAGCAAAUACGUGCCUUUCGCAGAAACAAAACCGUGCCCAACGCGGCUUGAUAGGCCGCUAGGUCAGCCUCCUCUGGCGUCUGCUGCUGCAGCGGCAUUGUGGCGAGGCGGGCGCACUCCUCCUCCUCAAGGCACAAUGCCUCCUCGUCAAGGUGCAACUCCUGCUCCCGGUGCAUCCGCCGCUCGCCGUUGACCGCCUCCUCGGCGAGUCAAUGUGCCUUCGCGUGGGUGGGCCGCCUCCUCCUCCGGCCUCGCGGCGUAGUUGACAGGAGGCGCUCUCACCCACUCGCGGUACUCGCCGGUCCAGGAGGAGGUCUCCUCAGGCCAAGUGGGCGGCGGCGGCGGCGACCGCUUUCGCGUGGGUGUGGGGUUGGGCUCCGGCCCCGGAUCGGGCUCGGCCUUGAGCUCGAGCGGCGGCGCAGGACGAAGAGCGGAGCAUGGAUGGAGUCCCCUGAUACGUCUCCAACGUAUCUAUAAUUUUUUAUUGUUCCAUACUAUUAUAUUAUCCAUCUUGGAUGUUUUAUAUGCAUUUAUAUGCUAUUUUAUAUUUUUUUGGACUAACUUAUUAACUUAAAGCCCAGUGCCACUUUCUGUUUUUCCUUGUUUAUGAGUUUUGCAUAAAAGGAAUACCAAACGGAGUCCAAAUGAGCUGAAAAUUUACGGUGAUUUUUUAUGGACCAGAAGAAGCCCUCGAAACAAAAGAGUUGGGGCAGAAGAGUCCCGAGUCAUCCACAAGGGUGGAGGGCGCCCCCUAGGGCGCGCACCCCUGUAUUGUCGUUGACUUGUCGACCCCCCUGACGUGAAACCGAUGCCAAAAAUUCAUAUAAAUCCAGAAACCCCCCAGAAAGAAACAUAUAUCGGGAGUUCCGCCGCCACAAGCCUCUGUAGCCACGAAAAAUCAAUCGGGAGCCCUUUCCAGCACCCUGCCGGAGGGGGAGUCCAUCACUGAUGGCCAUCUUCAUCAUCCCGACACUCUCCAUGACGAGGAGGGAGUAGUUCACCCUCGGGGCUGAGGGUAUGUACCAGUAGCUAUGUGUUUGAUCUCUCUCUCUCUCUCUCUCUCUCUCGUGUUCUUGAUUUGGCACGAUCUUGAUGUAUCACGAGCUUUGCUACUAUAGUUGGAUCAUAUGGUGUUUCUCCCUCUCUACCUUCUUGUGAUGAAUCGAGUUUUCCCCUUGAAGUUAUUUUAUCGGAUUGAAUCUUUAAGGAUUUGAGAACACUUGAUGUAUGUCUUGCAUAUGAAUAUCCGUGGUGACAAUGGGAUAUGCACGUGAACCACUUGAUGUAUGUUUUGGUGAUCAACUUGCGGGUUCCAUGACCUUGUGAACUUAUGCAUAGGGGUUGGCACACGUAUUCGUCUUGACUCUCCGGUGAAAACUUUGGGGCACUCUUUGAAAUUCUUUGUGUUGGUUUGAAUAGAUGAAUCUGAGAUUGUGUGAUGCAUAUAGUAUAAUCAAACUCGCGAGUACUCGUGGUGACAAUGGAGUGCCUAGGUGACAUUAGGGUUUUGGUUGAUGUGUAUCUUAAGGUAUUAUUUUAGUACGAACUCUAGGGAUGUUUGUGGCACUUAUAGGAAUAGCCCAAUAGAUCGAUCAGAAAGAAUAACUUUGAGGUGGUUUCGUACCCUACAAUAAUCUCUUCGUUUGUUCUCCGCUAUUAAUGACUUUGGAGUGACUCUUUGUUGCAUGUUGAGGGAUUGUUAUAUGGUCUAAUUAUGUUAUCAUUGUUGAGAGAACUUGCACUAGUGAAAGUAUGAAUCCUAGGCCUUGUUUCCAAGCAUUGCAAUACCGUUUUUGCUCACUUUUACUACUUGCUACCUUGCUGUUUUUAUAUUUUCAUAUUACAAAAACAUAUAUCUACCAUCCAUAUUACACUUGUAUCACUAUAUCUUCGCCGAACUAGUGCACCUAUACAAUUUACCAUUGUAUUGGGUGUGUUGGGGACACAAGAGACUCUUUGUUAUUUGGUUGCAGGGUUGUUUGAGAGAGACCAUCUUCUUCCUACGCUUCCACCGGAUUGGUAAACCUUAGGUCAUCCACUUGAGGGAAAUUUGCUACUGUCCUACAAAACUCUGCGCUUGGAGGCCCAACACGAGUCUACAAGAAGAAGGUUGCAUAGUAGACAUCAUCCCCCGCCGUCGACAAUACGAGGGCUUGGUCCAGCCCAUCCCAAUGGGCGUCCUUCUCGAGCGGCUCGCCUCCAGCACGUGCUGUAGGGCCUUCUCGAGUGCGGCUUGGUAAGCCGCCUCUUCCUCCUCCUCUGGCAAAACCUGUGGGGGUGGCGGCGGAACGUCGUGGUCGACGUGGACGCCGCCGCGGCACUCCUCCUCGUGCUCUAGUGCAAACCAGCGCUGUCAGUUGGGGGAGUCUGGUGUGUAGGCACGCAUCGCGCGCUGCUUGGGUGUAAGGACCUCGCGACGUCGGCGACCCUCCUAGGCGUCGCCCACGCCAAGCACAGCACCGCCGGAAUGGGGAUGCAGUGCGGGUCCAGAUGCCAGUCGUGCGGCAGGUUGAUACGUCUCCGUCGUAUCUAUAAUUUUUGAUUGUUCCAUGCCAAUAUUAUUCAACUUUCAUAUACUUUUUGGCAACUUUUUAUACUAUUUUUGGGACUAACAUAUUGAUCCAGUGCCAGUUCCUGUUUGUUGCAUGUUUUAUGUUUUGCAGAAUAUCCAUAUCAAACGGAAUCCAAACGGGAUAAAAACGGACGGAGCUUAUUUUUGGAAUAUUUGGAAAAUUCCGGAAGAAAAAUCCACGCGAGACGGUGCCCGAGGUGGCCACGAGGCAGGGGGGCGCGCCCCUGACCCUCGUGGGCCACCCGUAAGGCUGUUGAUGCCCUUCUUCGGCCGCAAGAAAGCUAAUUUUUGGAAAAAGAUCUGGGCGAAACAUUCAACCCAAUCGGAGUUACGGAUCUCCGGAUAUAAAAGAAACGGUGAAAGGGCAGCAAACGAGAACGCAGAAACAGAGAGACAGAUCCAAUCUUGGAGGGGCUCUCGCCCCUCCCACGCCAUGGAUGCCACAGACUAGAGGGGAAACCCUUCUUCCAUCUAGAGGAGGUCAAGGAAGGAGAAGACGAAGGGGCCCCCUCUCCCCUUCUCUUCCGGUGGCGCCAGAACGCCGCCGUGGCCAUCAUCAUCACCGCAAUCUUCACCAACAACUUCACCGCCAUCAUCACCAACUCUUCCCCCCUCUAUGCAGCGGUGUGACCUCUCUCUUACCCGCUGUAAUCUCUACUUAAACAUGGUGCUCAACGCUAUAUAUUAUUUCCCAAUGAUGUAUGGCUAUCCUAUGAUGUUUGAGUAGAUCCGUUUUGUCCUAUGGGUUAAUUGAUGAUCGUGAUUGGUUUGAGUUGCAUGUUUUAUUAUUGGUGCUGUCCUAUGGUGCUCUCCGUGUCGCGCAAGUGUGAGGGAUCCCCGCUGUAGGGUUUGCAAUAUGUUCAUGAUUUGCUUAUGGUGGGUGGCGUGAGUGACAAAAGCACAAACCCGAGUAAGUAGGUUGUUUGCGUAUGGGAUAAAGAGGACUUGAUACUUUAAGGCUAUGGUUGGGUUUUACCUUAAUGAUCUUUAGUAGUUGCGGAUGCUUGCUAGAGUUCCAAUCAUAAGUGCAUAUGAUCCAGGUAGAGAAAGUAUGUUAGCUUAUGCCUCUCCCUCAAAUAAAAUUGCAAUAAUGAUUACCAGUCUAGUUAUCGAUUGCCUAGGGACAAAUAACUUCCUCGUAACAAAAAGCUCUUUACUAAAACUAAUUUAGUUGUGUCUUUAUCUAAGCAGCCCCUAGCUUUUAUUUACGCUCUCUUUACUUUCUUGCAAACCUAUCCAAAAACACCUACAAAGUACUUCUAGUUUCAUACUUGUUUCCGGUAAAGCGAACGUCGAGUGUGCGUAGAGUUGUAUCGGUGGUCGAUAGAACUUGAGGGAAUAUUUGUUCUACCUUUAGCUCCUCAUUGGGUUCGACACUCUUACUUAUCGAAGUAGGCUACAAUUGAUCCCCUAUACUUAUGGGUUAUCAAGACCUUUUUCUGGCGCCGUUGCCGGGGAGUCAUAGCGUGGGGUGAAUAUUCUCGUGUGUUCUUGUUUGCUUUAUCAGUAAGUAAUUUUCAUUUGCUGUUCUUAGUUGUUUUCUAUCUUUAGUUAUGGGUAGGAAACGCAAAAUACCAAAAAAAUUAGUUGUACCUACUGAACCAAUGGUUGAAGAACCACUCAAAAUCUAUCACACUCCUGAAGCUUUUUACUUGGAUCAUCUUCGAUCCCUUUGUGCUCGUGCUGAAACCCCAACUAGCUUAGUUGAGGGCAAAUCCUUAGAUGAGCAUGCUUGUUAUGUGCGACACCGAAUAUCUGAAAAAGGGAAAAUUCUAUUGGGUCAAAUUCAUCGUUUGCAAUGCUAUGCUUGGAAUUUAUGUGAAAUAUAUGAUAUUACUUGUUGUUCUGAAAACCCUAAGAAACACCUUCCCUACCAAUGUGAGUAUAUUGAUAAUGGAAUCUUAUCUUCGUAUGCUAAAGGUGUUUAUAGUUACUAUGAUGUGCAACAAAUUGAAGAAUUUGUUGCUUUUAAGGGCGCUUCUGAAACUGCUUCUUUGUUUGAAACGUAUGAUGCUACUCUGCACAAAUCUGAAAAUUUUGCCAUACUUAAAUAUUGCUGAUAAUUAUGCUUCUAAUGCAUAUGUUGAACCAUAUAUUGAGGACUACUCCGCUAUCCAAGAAGAGACUAAUAUUUUGCAGGAGUCUAUGGAAGAAGAAAUUGAUGAAACUGUGAGCUUAUUGGAUGAAAAAGAUGAUGAGGAGAGCGAAGAACAAAAGGAGGAAGAGCGGAUUAGCUACCCGUGCCCACCUUCUAAUGAGAGUAACUCUUCAACUCAUACAUUGUUUAAUUUCCCUUCGUGCUUACCGAAGGAUGAUUGCUAUGAUGACUAUUAUGAUCCCGUUGAUUCUCUUGAAAUAUCCCUUUUUGAUGAUGCUUGCUAUGCUUGUGGCCAAGAUGCCAAUAUGAAUUAUGCUUAUGGAGAUGAAUUUGCUAUAGUUCCUUAUGUUAAACAUGAAAUUGUUGCUAUUGCACCCACGCAUGAUAGUCCUAUUAUCUUUUUGAAUUCUCCCGACUACACUAUAUCGGAGAAGUUUGCACUUAUUAAGGAUUAUAUUGAUGGCUUGCCUUAUACCAUUGCACAUGAUGAUUUUGAUGAAUAUGAUAUGCAUGUGCUUGCUGCUCCUACUUGCAAUUAUUAUGAGAGAGGAACUAUAUCUCCACUUCUCUAUGUUUCCAACACGAUAAAAUUGCAAGAAACCGUUUAUACUAUGCAUUGGCCUUUACUUUGUGUGCAUGAAUUGUUCUUUUAUGACAUGCCGAUGCAUAGGAAGAGAGUUAGACUUCGUCAUUUCAUGAUAUAUGUUGCUUUGUGCUCACUACUAAAUGCCAAAUCAUUGCUAAUUAAAAUUGGCUUUGAUAUACCUUGGGAUCCGGGUGGAUUCACUACUUGAGCACUAUAUGCCUAGCUUAAUGGCUUUAAAGAAAGCGCUGCCAGGGAGACAACCCGGAAGUUUUCGAGAGUUAUUUAUUUAUGUUGUGUGCUGCUAUAAAGUUUAUAAAUAAAAAUAAUGUGCCAAGGUUUGCCUUUAGGAUGGUUACAAUGCUUGUUGGUUUGUACGGUGCAGGACAGAAACUUUGGCCGUAGUGCGCGAUUUGUAAUUUUUUACUGGAACGUCAAAUGGUUAUGAUUCUUUUUGCACUGUCUUUCUAUAAUUUUUUUUAUUUUUCCUAAUUUUUGCAGAAUUUUUCAAGUAUCAUAAGUAUGGUGAAUGUUCAGAUUAUUACAGACUGUUCUGUUUUAGACAGAUUCUGUUUUCGAUGCAUAGUUUGCUUGUUUUGAUGAAACUAUCAAUUUAUAUCAGUGGAUUAAGCCAUGAAAAAGUUAUACUACAGUAGACACAAUGCAAAAACAAAAUAUGAAUUGGUUUGCAACAGUACUUAGAGUAGUGAUUUGCUUUAUUAUACUAACGGAUCUUACCGAGUUUUCUGUUGAAGUUUUGUGUGGAUGAAGUGUUCGAAGAUCGAGGAUGUUUCGAUAUGAGGAUAAGGAGGAGAGGCAAGAGAUCAAGCUUGGGGAUGACCAAGGCACCCCAAGUAAAUAUUCAAGGAGACUCAAGCGUGUAAGCUUGGGGAUGCCCCGGAAGGCAUCCCCUCUUUCUUCAACAAGUAUCGGUAUGUUUUCGGAUUCGUUUCGUUCAUGCGAUAUGUGCAAUCUUGGAGCGUCUUUUGCAUUUAGUUUUAAUUUUUAUUUUAUGCACCAUGCUGGUAUGAGAUAGUCCUUGGUUGAUUUAUAGAAUGCUCAUUGCACUUGACUUAUAUCUUUUGAGUAUGGCUUUAUAGAAUGCUUCAUGUGCUUCACUUAUAUCAUUUGAAGCUUGGAUUGCCUGUUUCUCUUUACAUAGUCAACCGCCAUUUGUAGAAUGCUCUUUUGCUUCACUUAUAUUAGUUAGAGCGUGGGCAUAUCUUUUGUAGAAAGAAUUAAACUCUCGUGCUUCACUUAUAUCUAUUUAGAGAGAUGACAGGAACUGGUCAUUCACAUGGUUAGUCAUAAAACCCUACAUAAAACUUGUAGAUCACUGAAUAUGAUAUGUUUGAUUCCUUGCAAUAGUUUUGCGAUAUAAAGGUGGUGAUAUUAGAGUCGUGCUAGUUGAGUAAUUGUGAAAUUGAGAAAUACUUGUGUUGAGGUUUGCAAGUCCCGUAGCAUGCACGUAUGGUGAACCGUUAUGUAACGAAGUUGGAGCAUGAGGUGUUUAUUGAUUGUCUUCCUUCUGAGUGGCGGUCGGGGACGAGCGAUGGUCUUUUCCUACCAAUCUAUCCCCCUAGGAGUAGGCGCGUAGUACUUUGUUUCGAUAGCUAAUAGACUUUUGCAAUAAGUAUGUGAGUUCUUUAUGACUAAUGUUGAGUCCAUGGAUUAUACGCACUCUCACCCUUCCAUCAUUGCUAGCCUCUUCGGUACCGUGCAUUGCCCUUUCUCACCUCGAGAGUUGGUGCAAACUUCGCCGGUGCAUCCAAACCCCAUGAUACGAUACGCUCUAUCACACAUAAACCUCCUUAUAUCUUCCUCAAAACAGCCACCAUACCUACCUAUCAUGGCAUUUCCAUAGCCAUUCCGAGAUAUAUUGCCAUGCAACUUCCAUCAUCAUCAUAUACAUGACUUGAGCAUUUAUUGUCAUAUUGCUUUGCAUGAUCGUAAGAUAGCUAGCAUGAUGUUUUCAUGGCUUGUCCGUUUUUUGAUGCCAUUGCUACGCUAGAUCAUUGCACAUCCCGGUACACCGCCGGAGGCAUUCAUAUAGAGUCAUAUCUUUGUUCUAGAUAUCGAGUUGUAAUAUUGAGUUGUAAGUAAAUAAAAGUGUGAUGAUCAUCAUUAUUAGAGCAUUGCCCCAGUGAGGAAAGGAUGAUGGAGACUAUGAUUCCCCCACAAGUCAGGAUGAGACUCCGGACGAAAAAAAUAAAAAAAUAAAAAUAAAAGAGAGAAAGGCCAAAAAAAGAGAAGGCCCAAAAAAAAAGAAAAAAUGAGAGAAAAAGAGAGAAGGGCAAUGUUACUAUCCUUUUACCACACUUGUGCUUCAAAGUAGCACCAUGUUCUUCAUAUAGAGAGUCUCUUGAGUUGUCACUUUCAUAUACUAGUGGGAAUUUUCAUUAUAGAACUUGGCUUGUAUAUUCCAACGAUGGGCUUCCUCAAAUGCCCUAGGUCUUCAUGAGCAAGCAAGUUGGAUGCACACCCACUUAGUUUCAGUUUGAGCUUUGAUACACUUAUAGCUCUAGUGCAUCCGUUGCAUGGCAAUCCCUACUCCUCACAUUGACAUCAAUUGAUGGGCAUCUCCAUAGCCCGUUGAUUAGCCGCGUCGAUGUGAGACUUUCCCCUUUUUUUGUCUUCUCCACAUAACCCCCAUCAUAUUAUUCUAUUCCACCUAUAGUGCUAUGUCCAUGGCUCACGCUCAUGUAUUGCGUGAAAGUUGAAAAGGUUUGAGAACGUCAAAAGUAUGAAACAAUUGCUUGGCUUGUCAUCGGGGUUGUGCAUGAUGUGAAUGCUUUGUGUGGUGAAGAUGGAGCAUAGCCAAACUAUAUGAUUUUGUAGGGAUAAGCUUUCUUUGGCUAUGUUAUUUUGAUAAGACAUAAUUGCUUGGUUAGUAUGCUUGAAGUAUUAUUGUUUUUAUGUCAAAGAAUAGACUAUUGCUUUGAAUCACUCGUGUCUUAAUAUUCAUGCCAUGAUUAGACAUAUGAUCAAGAUUAUGCCAGGUAGCAUUCCACAUAAAAAUUAUCUUUUUUAUCAUUUACCUACUCGAGGACGAGCAGGAAUUAAGCUUGGGGAUGCUGAUACGUCUCCGUCGUAUCUAUAAUUUUUUAUUGUUCCAUGCCAAUAUUAUUCAACUUUCAUAUACUUUUUGGCAACUUUUUAUACUAUUUUUGGGACUAACAUAUUGAUCCAGUGCCUAGUGCCAGUUCCUGUUUGUUGCAUGUUUUAUGUUUCGCAGAAUAUCCAUAUCAAACGGAAUCCAAACGGGAUAAAAACGGACGGAGCUUAUUUUUGGAAUAUUUGGAAAAUUCCGGAAGAAAAAUCCACGCGAGACGGUGCCCGAGGUGGCCACGAGGCAGGGGGGCGCGCCUGCCCCCCUGGGCGCGCCCCUGACCCUCGUGGGCCACCCGUAAGGCGGUUGAUGCCCUUCUUCGGCCGCAAGAAAGCUAAUUUUUGGAAAAAGAUCUGGGCGAAAGAUUCAACCCAAUCGGAUUUACGGAUCUCCGGAUAUAAAAGAAACGGUGAAAGGGCAGCAGAGGAGAACGCAGAAACAGAGAGAGAUAGAGAGACAGAUCCAAUCUCGGAGGGGCUCUCGCCCCUCCCACGCCAUGGAGGCCAAGGACUAGAGGGGAAACCCUUCUCCCAUCUGGGGAGGAGGUCAAGGAAGGAGAAGACGAAGGGCCCCCCUCUCCCCUUCUCUUCCGGUGGCGCCGGAACGCCGCCGUGGCCAUCAUCAUCACCGCAAUCUUCACCAACAACUUCACCGCCAUCAUCACCAACUCUCCCCCCCUCUAUGCAGCGGUGUAACCUCUCUCUUACCCGCUGUAAUCUCUACUUAAACAUGGUGCUCAACGCUAUAUAUUAUUUGCCAAUGAUGUAUGGCUAUCCUAUGAUGUUUGGUAGAUCCGUUUUGUCCUAUGGGUUAAUUGAUGAUCGUGAUUGGUUUGAGUUGCAUGUUUUAUUAUUGGUGUUGUCCUAUGGUGCUCUCCGUGUCGCGCAAGCGUGAGGGAUCCCCGCUCUAGGGUUUGCAAUAUGUUCAUGAUUUGCUUAUGGUGGGUGGCGUGAGUGACAGAAGCACGGACCCGAGUAAGUAGGUUGUUUGCGUAUGGGAUAAAGAGGACUUGAUACUUUAAUGCUAUGGUUGGGUUUUACCUUAAUGAUCUUUAGUAGUUGCAGAUUGAUACGUCUCCAACGUAUCUAUAAUUUAUGAAGUAUUCAUGCUAUUAUAUUAUUUGUUUUGGAUGUUUAUGGGCUUUAUUAAACACUUUUAUAUUAUUUUUGGGACUAACCUAUUGACCCAGAGCCCAGUGCCAGUUUCUGUUUUUCCCCUUGUUUCAGUGUUUCGAAGAAAAGGAAUAUCAAACGGAGUCGAAACGGAAUGAAACCUUCUGGAGAAGUUAUUUUUGGAAGGAAAGCAACCCGGGAGACUUGGAGUCCACGUCAAGAAAGCAACGAGGAAGGCACGAGGCAGGGGGCGCACCCACCCCCUGGGCGUGCCCUCCACCCUCGUGGGCCCCUCGUGGCUCCCCUGACGUAUUUCUUCCGCCUAUAUAUAUCCAUAUACCCUAAAACCUUCGGGGAACAGAAUAGAUCGGGAGUUCCGCCGCCGCAAGCCUCUAUAGCCACCAAAAACCAAUCGGGACCCUGUUCCGGCACCCUGCCGGAGGGGGGAUCCCUCACCGGUGGCCAUCUUCAUCAUCCCGGCGCUCUCCAUGACGAGGAGGGAGUAGUUCACCCUCAGGGCUGAGGGUAUGUACCAGUAGCUAUGUGUUUGAUCUCUCUCUCUCUCUCGUGUUCUUGAUUUGGCACGAUCUUGAUGUAUCGCGAGCUUUGCUAUUAUAGUUGGAUCUUAUGAUGUUUCUCCCCCUCUACUCUCUUGUAAUGGAUUGAGUUUUCCCUUUGAAGUUAUCUUAUCGAUUGAGUCUUUAAGGAUUUGAGAACACUUGAUGUAUGUCUUGCCGUGCGUAUCUGUGGUGACAAUGGGAUACCACGUGAUUCACUUGAUGUAUGUUUUGGUGAUCAACUUGCGGGUUCCGCCCAUGAACCUAUGCAUAGGGGUUGGCACACGUUUUCGUCUUGACUCUCCGGUAGAAACUUUGGGGCACUCUUUGAAGUUCUUUGUGUUGGUUGAAUAGAUGAAUCUGAGAUUGUGUGAUGCAUAUCGUAUAAUCAUACCCACGGAUACUUGAGGUGACAUUGGAGUAUCUAGGUGACAUUAGGGUUUUGGUUCAUUUGUGUCUUAAGGUGUUAUUCUAGUACGAACUCUAGGGCUGUUUGUGACACUUAUAGGAAUAGCCCAACGGAUUGAUUGGAAAGAAUAACUUUGAGGUGGUUUCGUACCCUACCACAAUCUCUUCGUUUGUUCUCCGCUAUUAGUGACUUUGGAGUGACUCUUUGUUGCAUGUUGAGGGAUUGUUAUAUGAUCCAAUUAUGUUAUUAUUGUUGAGAGAACUUGCACUAGUGAAAGUAUGAACCCUAGGCCUUGUUUCCUAGCAUUGCAAUACCGUUUACGCUCACUUUUAUCAUUCGUUAACUUGCUGUUUUUAUAUUUUCAGAUUACAAAAACCUUUAUCUACCAUCCAUAUUGCACUUGUAUCACCAUCUCUUCGCCGAACUAGUGCACCUAUACAGUUUACCAUUGUAUUGGGUGUGUCGGGGACACAAGAGACUCUUUGUUAUUUGGUUGCAGGGUUGUUUGAGAGAGACCAUCUUCAUCCUACGCCUCCCAUGGAUUGAUAGACCUUAGGUCAUCCACUUGAGGGAAAUUUCCUACUGUCCUACAAACCUCUGCACUUGGAGGCCCAACAACGUCUACAAGAAGAAGGUUGUGUAGUAGACAUCAAGCUCUUUUCUGGCGUCGUUGCCGGGGAGGUGAGUGCUUGAAGGUAUAUCUUUAGAUCUUGCAAUAUAAUCUUUUUGUUUCUUGUUUUAGCACUAGUUUAGUUUAUAAAAUAAAACUAAAAAAAUGGAAUUGAGUUUACCUCAUACGCUUCAUCUUUUUAAUAUAUUUCGUGAGUAUGAUGGAAAAGAAAAUUGUGCCAAAGUGUUAGAAGAAGAAUGCAUUAAAAUGUUUGGCACUAAAUAUUUGAAUGAUGAGCAUGACUGCAAUGUUGUUAGUAUGAAUUCUUUGAAUACCUAUGAUGCUAAUGAUAUGCAAAGCCACAAGCUUGGGGAUGUUAUGUUUGAUGAAGAUGAUAUGUUUAGUCCCCCAAGUUUUGAUGAGCAAAUUUAUUAUGAUGAAAGCAUGCCUCCUAUUUAUGAUGAUUAUUGUGAUGACACGUAUGCUAUAAAGAAUAAAGAUAACCAUGAAACUUGUCAUCAUGAUUUUAAUUUUCAAUUGGAUUAUGCUUCACAUGAUAGUUAUUUUCUUGAAUUUGCUCCCACUACUAUUCAUGAGAACAAAUUUGCUUAUGUGGAGAGUAGUAAAAUUUCUAUGCAAGUAGAUCAUGAAAAGAAUGCUUUAUGUGCUGGUUAUAUGGUUGAAUUCAUUCAUGAUGCUAUUGAAAAUUAUUAUGAGGGAGGAAUAUACGCUUGUAGGAAUUGCAAUAAUAUCAAGUUUCCUCUCUAUGUGCUUAAAGUUUUAAAGUUAUGCUUGUUUUGCCUUCCUAUGCAAGUUGAUUCUUGUUCCCAUAAGUUGUUUGCUCACAAAAUCCCUAUGCAUAGGAAGUGGGUUAGACUUAAAUAUGCUAGUCAUAUUCUUCAUGAUGCUCUCUUUAUGUUUCAAUUCUUAUCUUUUAUGUGAGCAUCAUUGAAAUCAUCAUGCCUAGCUAGGGGCGUUAAACGUUAGCGCUUGUUGGGAGGCAACCCAAUUUUAUUUUAGUCUCUUGCUUUUUGGUUCUGUUUAGGAAUAAAUAAAUCAUCUAGCCUCUUGUUAGAUGUGGUUCUAUGUUUUAAUUAGUGUUUGUGCCAAGUUAAACCUAUAGGAUCUUCUUGGAUGAUAGUUAUUUGAUCUUGCUGAAAAUUCCAGAAACUUUCUGUUCACGAAAACAAUUGUUAAAAAUCACCAGAACGUGAUAAAAUACUGAUUCCAAUUGCAGCAGAUCAAUAAUCAAAUUAUCUAGGUCUUCCUAUUUUGGUAGAAUUUUUUGAGUUCCAGAAGUUUGCGUUAGUUACAGAUUACUACAGACUGUUCUGUUUUUGACAGAUUCUGUUUUUCGUGUGUUGUUUGCUUAUUUUGAUGAAUCUAUGGCUAGUAAAAUAGUUUAUAAACAAUAGAGAAGUUGGAAUACAGUAGGUUUAACACCAAUACAAAUAAAGAAUGAGUUCAUUACAGUACCUUGAAGUGGUGUUUUGUUAUCUUUCGCUGACGGAGCUUACGAGUUUUCUGUUAAGUUUUGUGUUGUGAAGUUUUCAAGUUUUGGGUAAAGAUUCGAUGGACUACGGAAUAAGGAGUGGCAAGAGCCUAAGCUUGGGGAUGCCCAAGUCACCCCUAGGUAAUAUUCAAGGACAACCAAGAGCCUAAGCUUGGGGAUGCCCCGGAAGGCAUCCCCUCUUUCGUCUUCAUUCAUCGGUAACUUUACUUGGAGCUAUAUUUUUAUUCACCACAUGAUAUGUGUUUUGCUUGGAGCGUCAUUUUAUUUUCUUUAGCUUUGCUUGCUGUUUGAAUAAAAUACUAAGAUCUGAAUUUAUUAAAUGAGAGAGUCUUCACAUAGCUACAUAAUUAUUUAACUACUCAUUGAUCUUCACUUAUAUCUUUUUGGAGUAGUUUGUCAUUUACUCGUGUGCUUCACUUAUAUCCUAUGAGUAAAUGGUUGAAUGAUUUGAAUGUCAUAAAUCUGAAAUUAUAUAUGUUUCAUAUGCUCAUCCCAUGGGGAGUAAUGACUUUACAUAUAAGAAGUAGAUGUGGUAAAUUUAUUGAAGGUUAGCAAACAUUGUAUUGGUCACUUGAACAAUUCAUGAAAGAAUAUUGAAGGAAGAGAGAUUUCACAUAUAAAUAUACUAUCUUGGACAUAUUCUAUGAUUGUGAGCCCCAUUAAUUAUUCUCAAACCUGAGCAAAUUAGUUGAAGUUGGACAAGGAAGACAACAUAAUGAGUUAUGCUUGGGUAUAUUUGUAUAGAAGUUAUAUUGUUAUGGAUCCUCUAACAUGUGGUGCUUGCUAUUUAGAAUCCUUUGCUAGCCAAAAUAUCUGUACUAAGCGGGAAUACUGCUUGUGCAUCCAAAAUCCUUGAACCAAAUUUCUUCCAUGAGUGUCCACCAUAUCUACCUAUAUACGGUAUUUACCUGCCGUUCCAAGUAAAUUUGCAUGUGCCAAACUCUAAACCUUCAAAUAAUAAUCUGUUUUGUAUGCCCGAAUCGCUCAUGUAGCGACUACGGGUUAGCAGUAUCUUCCAUGCUAGGUGGGUUAUUCUGAUGAUGAGUGGACUCCGCUCAUCAUUCACGAGAAAAUGGAUGGUAACUGGGAUGCCCAGUCCCAUGAUCAAAAGAUCGAAAUCAAAUCAAAAAUAUUUGCAAACAAAACUCCCCCAGGUUUGAUGUUAGUUGGAGGCACCCAUUGUUUCGGGCAAGCCAUGGAUUGAUGAUUGUGGGUGGAGGGGGAGUAAAAAUCUUUACCUUUCUGUUUGGGAACCGCCUAUAAUGUAUGUAGUAUGGAAGAUAUUGGGAACUCUUGGUCGUUAUGUUGACAAUGAAAGCAUACCUCUCAAAAUUAUUUUCAUCUCUGUUUUUGCUUCGAGCUCUGGCACCUCUGCAAAUCCCUGCUUCCCUCUGCGAAGGGCCUAUCUUUUACUUUUAUGCAAGAGUCAGUAGUAUUCCUUCUCAUUCCAACCUACUCUUUAGUUGGCAAGCAUCAUGUGAUGGAAAGAUCUAGGCAUAUAUGCCAUUCAAAUAUAUUUGAGCAUGAAUUAUUACUGUUGACAUUACCCCUGAGGUAAAAGGUUGGGAGGCGAAACAUUAAGCCCCUAUCUUUCUCUGUGUUCGAUGAAUACUAUUUGUUCUAAAAAUAUGCUUUGAGUGGUAGCAAUCAUGGAAGACUAAAUGAUAGUUGAGUAUGUGAAGUUUGCUGAAUCAAAGCUCUGACAUAGACUCUUCCUGAAAAUAAGAUGAAUUGAAUUGUUUGAUGACUGAGAACUGUUUGUUAGUUUUCAAGAAAGUUUAUUGUCUAUGCUUUAACAUGUGAAUAGUUUGUUACUUGAUCAUGAAAAGUUCUAUGAGUUGAGCUACUGUUAUGACAUAUAAUGAUGCUAGAAAUGGUCACUGAAAUUAUCAUUGAUCAAACUUAUGCACCUGCUAGCAUUCACACUUCAUACAUUCUUUCUUUUAUCAUUUACCUACUCGAGGACGAGCAGGAAUUAAGCUUGGGGAUGCUGAUACGUCUCCAACGUAUCUAUAAUUUAUGAAGUAUUCAUGCUAUUAUAUUAUCUGUUUUGGAUGUUUAUAGGCUUUAUUAAACACUUUUAUAUUAUUUUUGGGACUAACCUAUUGACCCAGAGCCCAGUGCCAGCUUCUGUUUUUUCCCUUGUUUCAGUGUUUCGAAGAAAAGGAAUAUCAAACGGAGUCGAAACGGAAUGAAACCUUCUGGAGAAGUUAUUUUUGGAAUGAAAGCAACCCAGGAGACUUGGAGUCCACGUCAAGAAAGCAACGAGGAAGGCAUGAGGCAGGGGGCGCGCCCACCCCCUGGGCGCGCCCUCCACCCUCGUGGGCCCCUCGUGGCUCCCCUGACGUAUUUCUUCCGCAUAUAUAUAUCCAUAUACCCUAAAACCUUCGGGGAACAGAAUAGAUCGGGAGUUCCGCCGCCGCAAGCCUCUGUAACCACCAAAAACCAAUCGGGACCCUGUUCCGGCACCCUGUCGGACGGGGGAUCCCUCACCGGUGGCCAUCUUCAUCAUCCCGGCGCUCUCCAUGACGAGGAGGGAGUAGUUCACCCUCGGGGCUGAGGGUAUGUACCAGUAGCUAUGUGUUUGAUCCCUCUCUCUCGUGUUCUUGAUUUGGCACGAUCUUGAUGUAUCGCGAGAUUUGCUAUUAUAGUUGGAUCUUAUGAUGUUUCUCCCCCUCUACUCUCUUGUAAUGGAUUGAGCUUUCCCUUUGAGGUUAUCUUAUCGGAUUGAGUCUUUAAGGAUUUGAGAACACUUGAUGUAUGUCUUGCCGUGCGUAUCUGUGGUGACAAUGGGAUAUCACGUGAUUCACUUGAUGUAUGUUUUGGUGAUCAACUUGUGGGUUCCGCCCAUGAACCUAUGCAUAGGGGUUGGCACACGUUUUCAUCUUGACUCUCCGGUAGAAACUUUGGGGCACUCUUUGAAGUUCUUUGUGUUGGUUGAAUAGAUGAAUCUGAGACUGUGUUAUGCAUAUCGUAUAAUCAUACCCACGGAUACUUGAGGUGACAUUGGAGUAUCUAGGUGACAUUAGGGUUUUGGUUGAUUUGUGUCUUAAGGUGUUAUUCUAGUACGAACUCUAGGGCUGUUUGUGAAACUUAUAGGAAUAGCCCAACAGAUUGAUUGGAAAGAAUAACUUUGAGGUGGUUUCGUACCCUACCAUAAUCUCUUCGUUUGCUCUCCUCUAUUAGUGACUUUGGAGUGACUCUUUGUUGCAUGUUGAGGGAUUGUUAUAUGAUCCAAUUAUGUUAUUAUUGUUGAGAGAACUUGCACUAGUGAAAGUAUGAAUCCUAGGCCUUGUUUCCUAGCAUUGUAAUACCGUUUACGCUCACUUUUAUCAUUCGUUACCUUGCUGUUUUUAUAUUUUCAUAUUACAAAAACCUUUAUCUACCAUCCAUAUUGCACUUGUAUCACCAUCUCUUCGCCGAACUAGUGCACCUAUACAGUUUACCAUUGUAUUGGGUGUGUUGGGGACACAAGAGACUCUUUGUUAUUUGGUUGCAGGGUUGUUUGAGAGAGACCAUCUUCAUCCUAUGCCUCCCACGGAUUGAUAAACCUUAGGUCAUCCACUUGAGGGAAAUUUGCUACUGUCCUACAAACCUCUGUACUUGGAGGCCCAACAACGUCUACAAGAAGAAGGUUGUGUAGUUGACAUCACGGAUGCUUGCUAGAGUUCCAAUCAUAAGUGCAUAUGAUCCAAGUAGAGAAAGUAUGUUAGCUUAUGCCUCUCCCUCAAAUAAAAUUGCAAUAAUGAUUACCUGUCUAGUUAUCGAUUGCCUAGGGACAAAUAACUUUCUCGUAACAAAAAGCUCUUUACUAAAACUAAUUUAGUUGUGUCUUUAUCUAAGCAGCCCCUAGCUUUUAUUUACGCUCUCUUUACUUUCUUGCAAACCUAUCCAAAAACACCUACAAAGUACUUCUAGUUUCAUACUUGUUUCCGGUAAAGCGAACGUCGAGUGUGCGUAGGGUUGUAUCGGUGGUCGAUAGAACUUGAGGGAAUAUUUGUUCUACCUUUGGCUCCUCGUUGGGUUCGACACUCUUACCUAUCGAAAGAGGCUACAAUUGAUCCCCUAUACUUGUGGGUUAUCAGAGGUUAACAAUUAGAUACAGCAGGGGCCGGCGAUACUGCCAGUGCCACUGCGCCCGGUGGACUGGUAUGUACAACAGUGAAGAUCAACUAUCCAUAUCCGCACAAGCAAAAAGAUCUCUCUUGCCUUCGGCAAUCAUGACGGGAAAGUUUCAGAACAUCUACAACCAGGCUUCUCAUACCCGUUUCAAACGUUCGGUCACGGAUCAGUAAAAAAAAUUCGAUCCAACCGGACCUCUCAAACCGUGGAGAAACGUCCAGACUGACCAGCACCCCUCAUAUCGAGCCCAAAUACAUGAUGGAUAUGGGGUGGCGAGGAAUUGGCGAUUCCGCCCCUUCCCCCCUCUCCCCUUCAAUGUUUAUGUCAUUUUUACUUGUAGAAGUUUAUGAACUUGUCCGGGGACGAAGUAUGAUCUUUCGUGUGGUGAAGUAUGGUAGGGCGUGUUUGGUUGCCCGCAUGCAGCUCAACUAGGCCCGCGCGGGAUGUGCGCGGCCUGUUUGGUAGCCCGCAUACACUAUUGGGCCUGCAUCGCACGCUUCUUAAAGCACCUCAGGGCCUGGCUCACUGGGAACGCACGAAUCGGCAGUUUCUCCAGGGCCAGGCCCGAGCGAUGCACGUGGGCGGGCGCGGCUGCAUGCGUGCGGCCACCCUCAAGAAGCCGCGUUGCUUCCCGAAGCACCGGCAGUUAUUAGCCUCACCGCCCCUCACCGCUCCCUCUCCCCACUCUUCCCCACUCUCCCAACUCUCACUGGCGGCGGCGGAUCGGAGCAAAGGAAGAAGACCACCAGACUCCAUCACCGGCGGCGGUGGAUCGGAGCAAAGGAAGAGGACCACCGGACUCCAUCAAUGGCGGUAAGCACUUCUCUCUCUUCGACAUGCACGCUAGAUUCGAUCCACGGCGGAGGGAAAUGGGGAAUAGAGGUAGAUAAGCAUAGGGGUAGUUCAUACUAGUUCAUAGCAGUUCAUACGAGUUCAUACAUGCAAGAUCGGAAUGCAUAAGGUAGAUUUCGGGAUUGGGGGAUAGGGGAAUCGGGGGAAAGGGGGUACACAACGGACACCGGCUGACCGCGGCGGCCGUCACCGGCGUGCGAAGCGGCUAGUCGAGCCGCUGGCCUUCAUCUUCUUCUUCAUCGCCGUGCGGGCCGGCGGGUCGUCCUCGUCGUCCUCGGCGGAGUCGAGGUCGAUCUGCCAGGUAGGACGGACUGGCUCCGACGCCCUAGCUGGCAUGUGCACCACCUCUUCUUCCUCCUCCUUAGGCUCCCCGCCGAUGACCGCCGACGGCGCGAUAGCCGUCUCCCAGUACACUGCGGCACGGCGGUCAUUAGGAGCCCAGUAGGUCUUGUACUUGCACCACUUCUUCCUCUGUUUAGGGUCGUCGAAGACAGCCUGAUUCAUGGCCCAGUGAAUGAUGUCAACUGCCAUCGCGCCCUUCGCUGGGUCAGGAAUCAGCGUCUUCAACUCUUCUUUAGUGGCCUUCACGAGCACGGCAUUAGAUUCAUUCUGCAUGUCCGGCAUGGAGCCGAAGUUCGAGCACACCUCCAUGGUGUUCUCGAACUUGGUCCGGUCACCAGCCGUCCACCCGAGGAAGAAGGCCCUCCAGCCAAUACCCCAAGGGAAGGGGUUGGCGUUGGAGCUGGAGCUAGAGCUCAUGGCGAUGGGGAGGAGGAAGGUUGACAGUGAGAGAAGAGAGGGGGUGGGUAAAUAGUGGUGGGCAGGGUGAGUAAAUAUAGGGGGGAUGGAGAGGAGGAGAAGAGUGACAGUCAUGCACUACAAGAAAUAUGUCAACUUGCGACCCUCACUAUUGGUCACUGAUUUUCAUUUGCGACCUUUUUUUUUACCAAAAACAGAUGGUCAAAAGCUGGCGGUCGUAAAAUGAAAUUAACAACCUUCUCUGUGAGAAGGUCAUGGAAUUCCACGACCAAAACAAAAGGUCGUUGAUUCUAUGACCUUCUGUUUUGGUCACUAGCUCUCUACCCAGGCCACGUCGGAUCCGACGUGGCAAUCUGACGUGGCAAAAUUGCGACCAAAUGAAAAGGUCGUUGAUAAGAAUCAGCCCGGUCCAUUUCACUGCUUUAGAUGGGCCGAGUCCAACAAUUCAUCCUUUUUAUUUUUUCUGUCAAUUUUGGUCGACUUCAUGGGCCAAGCCCAACGUUGCAGCCUUUUUUAUUGUUGGGCCGUGGCCUUUUUGUCUAAACAAUUUCAUUUUUCUUUUUUAUUAAAUGGGUCCACUAGUCAAAUGGGUCCCAGUGCAUGUAAUAGUUUAACUCAUGUUAACUAGCAGUAACCUUCACAAGAUAGCCUCAAACGAACCAUCAAGUCAACUCAUGUUUACAGCUAACAGCAGCAAGUGUAUGUAUUUGUUUAACUCAUGUUAACUAACAGUAACCUUCACAAGACAGCCUCGAACGAACCAUCAAGUCAACUCAUCAUACAACACAUUUACAGCUAACAGCAGCAAUACAUCAUACAUCACAGAGAACGGUUCACAGAAACCGACAAACUAAACUAGAGGCACAUCAUAAGCUCACAAGCAUGGCUGCCGCAGCAGUUUGUUUCGCCAGUAAAGACAGCGACUUUCUUCCUCGACCAGACAAUAGCCCAGCUCACAUCCUCUACCUCCUCACAGGAGGCGCGCCACCUCGUCUCCUUCAACAGGGGGAUCACCACCACGUCCACCAGCAGCCUGCAUGAAGCAG
rnacentral:lncRNA from 1 species